rnacentral:lncRNA from 1 species
GUUUGAGGCAGGACCUAAUUACCAGGUCUUACCAAAGGAUGGAGAGGUACCAGAGGGGACAUCCCAUGAAGACCACUGCUUCAGCCGGUCCCUCCGUUCGGGGUCCCUGACUUCCCGCAACAACCUAAGUCUCAUUACAGAAAACAUCUCUUCUCUGAGAGUAAUCAAGAUUCAAGUACCAGUGAACUAUCUUGGACCAGUAACCAGAAAAAGAAAUCCCUAAAAUCAUAUUCCAGUAGAAAGAAGACAAGAACCAGAAGUAAUUUGAGAAUCUUGCCAGUUUUCCCUCCCAGUAGUGGCAGUGGCCAUGAGAAAGACCAAGCUAAGCUUCUAUCACCAUCAGAGAAAGAAAUACCCGAGCAAAAUAACACCACAUCUCCAAAGACUUCUGAACAAAAAUUCCAAGAUAGUUUUGCUUUUUUGACUGCUGAAGAUUCUGCCCAGAAAACAGAGCUUCAAGAUCCUCACUCACUGAGUGAGCUCUCUUCCUUGAAGCACUCAGAAGAUGAAGAAAAACCUAAGAUUGUGAACCAAGAAUCACUAACAGAAAGUACUAGCUUGAAACAUAAGCUGAGAAACUUGGAAGACAAAGACAUACCAGAAGGUAGUUUUGCUAAGUCACAACAAUCAAGAUUGGAAGAAGAGGUUGCUCCGGGAUCCCCUUUCUCAAUAACAGAAGAAAGAGAGUUGCCAGAAGGAAUUUCCACUUCAUCCCUAGAAGUUGUGCCAGAGAACUUGAACGGUUCUGCCAUUCUCCCAACCUUUGAAAACUUCACUAAAAAACGGAAAAGAAAAUAUGAGCUUAGGUACAGAAAGCGUCCGUUUAAUUCAGAAAAUGCAAAGAAAGCACCGGAUUGCCUAAUAAAACUUUUAAACCAGAUGCAACUGUUCAGACUCAAUAAACUAGAGCGCUUUCAAAAUUUGGUUCUUCAAGAGUUGAGCAGUCUUAAGCAGGAUAUUCAGGCCCUGGAACACCUUGAGAAGGAGGUUCUGGAAUUCUGGGGGAAACAGUCUGCUGAUCUGCAAUCUUUCUGUGAUCUGCAAGUGCUGAGUGAGGGAUGAUGGUGAUUCUCUUAGCUCACGCUGAGUGCUUAUGGGUGCCUGGCCCUGGGCUGAGUCCUUGAUGUGCAAAGGGCCUUACAAGAGGUUCAAUUCAACUCAGACUUCAUAAGAAAGCCAAAGCCUGGUUUUAUGAUUGCAGCCCUCAGCCUGGGCUGCCUGAAGACGAAGAGAAAGAGCAAGGUUAUUGUUGGCUCAGGCCUUGUUAGCCAGACUUCGUGCUCUGUACGCAUUCAAUUUCCUCCCCUCCAAACAUCAUCCCUGGGAACUGCUGAGUUCAGAUAGAAUAUAUGUUGGUAGUUUGCAGUUGGGUUAUUAUCCAUUUGUUCAUAAAAAUUAACCUUUUGUAUUAAAAUUUGGUCAGAUAGUAUUAAUAGAAAGUUCAGGAUGUUAAACAACUUGGAGUGGUGUUGCUUUUUUUUUAUAAAAGUAAAAUGGACUUUUUUUUGUUUGAGAAAUGUCUU